rnacentral:rRNA from 1 species
GAGGCAUGCUGGAGAUAUCAGAAGUGCGAAUGCUGACGUAAGUAACGAUAAAGGGGGUGAAAAGCCUCCUCGCCGGAAGACCAAGGGUUCCUGUCCAACGUUAAUCGGGGCAGGGUGAGUCGACCCCUAAGGCGAGGCCGAAAGGCGUAGUCGAUGGGAAGCAGGUUAAUAUUCCUGCACGACUUGUAAUUGCGAUGGGGGGACGGAGAAGGCUAGGUGGGCCAGGCGACGGUUGUCCUGGUGAAAGUGCGUAGGUGGUACCUUUAGGUAAAUCCGGAGGUGCAACGCUGAGACACGAGACGAACGCACUACGGUGCGGAAGCCAUUGAUGCCCUGCUUCCAGGAAAAGCCUCUAAGCUUCAGAUUACAAGUCAUCGUACCCCAAACCGACACAGGUGGUCGGGUAGAGAAUACCAAGG